AUCAAGUGAUGAUCAUUCUAAUUCCUGACCAGGAAGUAGGCCCAGAUUACUGUUUUGCUGAAAAUGAGGAGGAGUUUUUUCAUCCAAGAAGAACUGGGCCUCCUUACAUUCGGGUGGAUUCAUAAUUGGAAUUUUCACAUUGGCACCUACUGGACUAAAAGAAAAUAUCCCAUUGUCCACUGAGGGGGUUCCAUUCCCACAAACAGGACACAGGUCUCUUUUGUGUACGUAUCUUCAUACAAAAUAUCAAGACUGUGUUCUCAGUCAGGACAUGGUGC
rnacentral:lncRNA from 1 species